AUACUGUGUCCCCCCUAAAGGUCCUGACACACCAAGCCGACUGUCAGUCUAUACUGUGUCCCCCCCUAAAGGUCCUGACACACCAAGCGGACUGUCGGUCUAUACUGUGUCCCCCCUAAAGGUCCUGACACACCAAGCCGACUGUCAGUCUAUACUGUGUCCCCCCCUAAAGGUCCUGACACACCAAGCGGACUGUCGGUUUAAACUGUGCCCCCCUAAAGGUCCAUUCUGAGACAGGAAAAUUGUUUGUUUGAUUCCUGCAGCUCUUGACCUCUCUCUGCCCUCCGCUGCGUCUCUCAGGCUGUAACCCUGUUUCUCUGCCCUCCGCUGCGUCUCUCAGGCUGUAACCCUGUUUCUCUGCCCUCCGCUGCGUCUCUCAGGCUGUAACCCUGUUUCUCUGCCCUCCGCUGCGUCUCUCAGGCUGUAACCCUGUUUCUCUGCCCUUCGCUGCGUCUCUCAGGCUCCAUCCCUGUUUUUUCACCUUUUUGUUGGCUUGUUGUUUUUAAGUUUCUCUCCCUGGCUGCUUCUAACACGCUGUCUUCUCUUCACAGCAGUGUCCCCCAAGAUUUAACAGUUGGUACCAAGAGAGGACCUGAAGAGCUUUUCUCCAGCGUCACCAACGGCCCGUAUAUCAUGAGCACCACAGGUCAGACAUGCUAUUAUAUAAUAUUAAUAUAGUAUUAUAAUAAUACUCUGAUCAUGUUCUGAUGCUGAUGAAAUACACACACGAUGUCUGUCCGGUUAAA